UCCCAAUUUACUCACAAAACAAACACAGCCCAUCUAGCUCGUUGAUUCAUAUCGUCAACAGACCAUGAAUUAUCGUGUUAUUCCAUUUAUUUUUAAAAGCUCGUCUCAUUUUAUCUCUGCCAUUGGAUCACAAGAAUCUAACGGCCAUCGAUUUUUUCCCAUAAAUUAUUUUAAAACUCCUAACUCUCAAAAUAUCAGAGUCGUUGAUCAAAUAAUCCAAUGGCUCCCGUUCCAUCUCUUGUUUUAAUCCCUAGAGAUGACUAACUCCAACACCAAACCCUAAUUCAUUUCCCUUGCUGACCCAGCCGCCACCUUUCCUUUUCCUCUCUCUAUUCUCUCUAAUCCCUGACCCGUCAACCCCAUAAACCUUGCACCAAAUCAUGAAAGGUUGUAAAUAAUGACCCCAAAUCAUCCCUUGUGCCCUGUCACUCUGAGAAUCUUGCUAAUAUCUUCCUAUUUUAUCAUAUGAAUUUGAAAUCUCAAGUUUUCUGACUUACACUUAAAGAUAAAACUUCAAGUCUUCAAGAUCUUCUAGUGCUCCAACAAAAUCAGAGAAUGCAUGGGCAUCUCAUUAUGUUUAUUCGAAAUCAGAGGUCAAAUGCAAUUACCUCUAGAUUUCCGGACUUUGUCCGAUGGUCUUUCUUGCCUGCAAUGGUUGUCUUCCACUCAAGUAAAACUCCUAUGAUUUUCCCUUCUAAUCUUUGGAUUUUCACUGACUUUGCUCGCAUCAUCAAUCUUUUUGUCGCUCUCCACUAUCGAUUUGAAUUUUUUUUUGAACUCUAAGGCUUCAAUGGACACUAUAAAUAGAGCCUUCAAUUCUCUCACCUAACACGACCUACCACCUAAUACAGCAUAGAAAAUAAAAUAGAAUUAAAAAGCCCUAAACUUCUCACUGAUUUUCUUUUCUUUCUCCGGUUCUGAGUUCAUACACUGUCUGGACUUGAGUUUUUGUUUCCUAACGGCUAAAUAAAAGGCUUUGCUUGAUUUGCUGCUCUGCAAAAGGUCGGUGUACACUGACCCUCCCUUUCACUUAAAUUAUGUUUCUUUAUUUAGUGAUUUUGAUGUAUUCUCUUGGGUCAUAAUACAUGUUUGGUAAUUUUUGGAUUGCCUAUUAUAUUCUCUGUCGUUCUUAUUAACAUAAAUGGUUAUCCUCAUGGUAAUCAUGUAUUUCUAGUUAACAUGUGACUUAAUUGGAUAACACCUGCUAUAAUGAAAUUGUAAAAUUUUUUGUUGAACUUUUGUUACUACUUUAAAAGACUUCUGAUGUUCUUUUAACCUUGCCACCAUGCUAACUUGACUAAACCGUGAUCUCAGACCCAUAUAAUGUUUUGCUAGGAACUUAUGUUUGCUAAUUCUGUAUUGCACUAGUUGUAGGGUUUAAUUAUGUUAUACUAUUAUUGAUCCAUGCCAUGCUUAACCUGUAUACCUUGAACGAUAUUUAUUAUGUACACUUAAGGAUCCAAUGUGAGUUUAUUAUUGUAGUCUGAACUCACUAGUUUAGUUGUCAGGCUAUCUGCUUUUCAACUAUGUCAUGUCAUCUUGUGAGUCUUGAAAAACAUCACUGCACAAUGAGCUUGCGUUUCUUUUGUUAGGUCUUGCAUUUAUGUAUAUGCCUAGCUAUACUUAUGAGCAUUCUUAUCUGAAGGAUUAAUGUCUAAGCCACUAUACUUUUAUUUAUUCAUAGAAGAGUAAGUUGAACCUUACGAGUUUUGACAGCUUAACAAAAUGAAGAAUUUGAGGAGAGAAGCUACUGUUUGAACUCAUAGGCUCUAACAAAUUCUUAAUGUAUGUUUCCCCAGUUAAAAUGAAUAUUAUUCUAUGUUAAUUGAUUACCUCUAUUCGUAUAGGGUUAGUUAUGAUUCUGGAUGUUUUGAUUAAGAAUUUAAGGAACUAGUGAUCCUACUACUAUGUUUGUAUCAUACUAAGAUUGACCUUCUUGCCUACAUGUGUAUCACUCCCUAAACUGACCAUACCAAGUUAAACUUUAUCAUGUUUGGGUUGAUGCAUUCACCUGUGUAACUGGACUAGUAAUCUUACUAUUAGUACCUUGCUUACUUCAUGUGAAAUCUCCAUUGUUCUAAACUCUUAUACUGAAUUUGUUGGCUUGACCCUAUGCUCCAUCAUGUUGUAGUUUUACACUCCUUAGGGAUAUAUUUGUAUGAGCUUGAUUGUCUGCACUUGGACUGCUAUGCUAAUUCUGUUAUCAAACACUCUCUGCUUAUCUUUCAUACUCAUGCCUAUGUACUUCAUUGCCCUAUCACAUAAUGAAGAUUGUAUAAGUCAACUAUAAUUCAUUUAUGGAUUUGAGAUAAUCUUCUGAUCAUAUUUGUUUUUCUUGAGUAGGAUGUUAUGCCUUGACUCUUACUGAACCCGGCGAGAAUGUGAUAUCAUGAAUGAUUUAUGGAGAAAGUGAUCGCCUAUUAGAGUUGAAAUCAAUUUGCUAAUUUACAUAAUCAUGUUGAUGCUCUCUAAAGAUCCUAUAUAAAAUUGUUAAUUCAUACACCUAUUAGAAUCCAAGACUUCCAUGUGUUUAAACCCCUGAUCAACUUAAGCCUGGAACUGUUAAGCAUGAGGACCCUCUGUAAAUUUGAACUAUGUACCUAUUCUAUUUCAUAAGUUGUUUGACUCAAUAGUCUGACCUUUCGAAAUGAUCUGCCACUAAUCGUUUCCCUUAAUUAUACGUGUUAUCAUUUUCUUUGGAUGUUCUUCUGUAUAUAGGUGGUUCUUAACAAUGAACUACACACUGGUGUUUAAGUUGUGAUUUCUUUAGUAUUGUCUGUUAUUACAUCUUCAAAAUAACAUUCAACAUAGUUUCUCUUGGAAGUACAGAUGCCUAAGCAUGUGUAUGAUUGUUACAGUUGUACUAAAAUUUGCAUUGAAUGCCUCAUUGGCUUUUAAACCUAUAGGGAAGAGUAAGUGUGAGUGGAUAGGUGUAUUUACGAGUGAGAUUUAGUUUGUAGUUGAGAUACUCUCCUUGACACAUGCACUGCUCGGGGUCAUUGAGACCCUUGUGAAAUUUGAAGUGUCAGGGGCUCAAAGAGUGUCUUGGAUAUAAAUGUAAUCUCAUCUUAAGCCCUUAAUCAUUGACAGUUACUAAUCUCUUUAGGGUUAGUGUUUAAUGAAGAAAAAGGCUUCACUAUAACUUUCCUUACUCUGCCCGAUCAUACACAAGCUUAUUUACAUUUUUAACAACAAAUAUUUGUUAUAGUCUCAUUUGGACCUUAUGUUUGAUCUUAUCUUCCUUUCAACAUUUUGUUGGGUUUUUGUCACUAAUUUCUUCCUUUUUCUCUUGAACAUAUAACUGAACUGGGCCUGCUGAGGUUUCAAAAAUUCAGGCCCAAGUUCCAGCCUUUGAGUUUGAUGUCAUGGGAGCCGUUGCUGCUUGUAUGUUGUUUGCUGGGCCUAACCUUCUUCAGACCCAAAUUAUUGAGUCCAAUUCCCUUUCCUUCCUCAUUAGAAGAAUUAAAUCUGUUAUCUUUUCUUUACAUGAGUAUAAUACAAACAAAAUUGAUUGAAUGUUUUAUUUUUCCUCAAACCUUCAAGGAACCUAGACAAGCCAAGAUCUAUAGGUAAUAAAAGAAAUCACUAUUACAUUACGAUUAGUUAUAAUAUUUUGGCGCUUUGGUCAUUAUUCUUCAUUACAUAAGAUUUCACUUUUCAUUAUACUAACCAUUUUAAUGAAGUUCUUUGAAGUUCAAAACAGAUUUUGAAAAGAAAUGUAAUUCUUCUUCUAAAGCCGGAAUUGAAAAAGAAGAUUUCAAAGUCAGCUCUUUCUAUAAAUAAAAAUCAACUCGAUUGGAAUCAAACCUAUUAAACCUUUCAAUGUUUUUUCUUGAAACAUGUUGCGUCAAAUUGAAACAAAUUUCCAAAGGUAUAUUUAAGGCCCAUUUCUAACAGUCUUUAUUCUACUAGACCUUUUUACAAGUAACCAUGUUGUAAAGUGUUCAAACAUAGCCACAUCUUACACCUUUGCAAAAUCAUUUAGAUGUAAAUAUUUUAAAAGGCUUUUACAAAUUAAACCUAUCUCCUCUUUAUACAGUACAUAUAUUAUUUCCUUUCAAAAUGAUAAGUAUUUAAACAUGACAUAGGUAAGACAUACACUUUAAGCUUUAACUAAGAAAAAUAUAGAGAUCUAAUUCCUUAAACCUAGUCUAAGUCAUAUGGAGCUACCUCAGGUAGAUAUUAGGGGGUGCCUAAUACCUUCCCCUUAAAAGAACAAGAACCCUUACCCAAUUCUCAUCGGUUAGUAGAUUAAUAGGAUAAUGAUCUUAAUAAUUAAAUAGGUACCCUAGUAUACCUUUAAAUAUUAGGUGGUAACUCUCUUUUAUCGUCAACAGGGAAACCACUAGUUGAAUGUUAUUUUGACUCGCGCAAAAUAGUGUGCAACAACAUGGCGACUCUGCUAGCAACUACACAUAGGUUUUGACCUUAUCAGACUUAGACUAUACUUGGAAUAUAAGACUAUUUAUAUACUACUUUAACUAUGUUUAAUUUGCAACUAUGUUCUUACCUGUCUUACUUGCUCAUUAUGUACUUAUCUGCUUACUUUAAAUGUUAUUAUUAACAUCCCUCUAUCUGUUACCGCUUUAUAUAUACUUUCUUCACACUCUUUUCUAUCGAGUCUUGGCCGUACACUAUCAUACAUAAUGGCACGCGAGGGUUUUCUUUUACAACCCUCCUAACCUUCUUUUAAAAUUCUUUAGUUCCAGAGAAUGGCUUUUUCAGGACAAGUGACAUAACUUCUCGCAGUAUUCAGUCCAACUCAAAAUUAGCGAACACUCUACUCUAGCAAACAUAGGUCAUAUUGCAUAAACCUUAAGUGAGUCGUUCCUUAGCAUCAACACACAAUUAGGAAAGCCACUCUAAUUCCAAUGGGUCAUGAACCCAACGACAUGACUUUUAUGGAAAGAUGAACUAAUCAUGAUGAGAUACUAAUGAUCCGAAGCAAACCCUUAUCAACCCCUUUUCUCUACCCUCUUCGGAAAUGGAAAACAACCAGAACAUCCCCGAAAUCAAUAUGGUAAUGGGGGCACUGCACAAGCUCAAGAAAUGGUGGAAAAACAUCCGCCGAGAGCAUGGAGACGAAAUAAGGACGCACCUGGGAGCAUUAACUACCUUACUGAACAUUCAGGCCGAUAGGGUACUCACCUGCUUGCUGAUAGAGUUCUGGGAUUCGACCAAGGUGGUUUUCAAGUUCGCUAAUUGUAAGUUGGUGCCAGCAUUGGAAGACGUUACCAGAUUCUCAAAGCUACCAUUUAUAGGGAGGAAGCCGAUACUACCGGUCACCAUGCCUGGCUAUACGUUUCUCGAUGCUUUAGGUUUGGUGGGUGGUCGGAGCUUAAGGAACAUCGAAGAUGGAUGGGUUAGCCUGGACCAAUUGAUUGAUAGGUUUGGACAUCGUGAGAGCUAUGAAUGGUACUUGGGAGAAUUUCAGUGUGAUCAUGCAAUCCGAGAAAGUCUCUGACCCAUACCCUUCUCUUUGGCACUGUUAGGACUGCUGGUUUUCAAAUAAAGAAGAGGAUGGAUUAAUAUCAACUUGCUUUUUGUGGUCUUGGAAACAUUCAAGGGCAACCUCCAAGCCACCUUGAUACCUACGGUGUUAGCAGAAAUUCUCAGAGCAUUGUCUACAUGUUCCCGGGGGUAUGAUUCUUUCAAGGGCUACAACUUGUUGGUUCAAAUAUGGGCCAUAAAGCACUUCUUUUAACAAGAGGCCACAGUUGAUUACUUCGUAGGUGUUAGCAACAUGAUUCGUAGUCAUAGUGAGGGAAUGAAACAUUGGGCUGAUAGGACUCCUAAAAGUAUUUCAUUGAGCUGAUAGGACUCGAGGGCAUCAAUCCAUAUGCACCCCUACAAGUUCUCAAGCACUCUGGGUUGAUUCAAUAUGUACAUCUCUUGAUGAGGACGGUACUGUAUGAAGACGAGUACAAUGGAUGGAUCCCUAUGCCAAGGAUAAGGAGGCUUAAGGAGGAGUGGAUCGAUCUAAUCACAAUGUCAAUGGGUCAGAAUUCGUGGUGCACUCCAGAGUAUUAUGUCUCGAUCAAUGACGAAGAUGAACUAGCCCGACCAAGCAGGGAAGGAAAAUCCUGGCUGGAAGAUGCAGUGGCAGCCUUGCAAAUCUAUCAUGAGAUUUUUCCGCACUACCUCAUGACUACCUCCAUGCACCGCCAAGUGGUCCCAGGGUUAAUUGAUCAUAUGCUGCCACCUCCCGAAGAUAAUGACCGAAUGGUUGAGUGUAUACAAAUUGAUCUGAGACACAAUUAGAAGAAGACCUAAAGGAAGAGCCUGAAUUCAAUGAUGAUGAAGAAGAAUUUGAAGAAGACCCGGAAGAAGAAUAGGAAGAAGAAGAAGAGAUGGGAAUGAUUCUGAGGAUGGUUGUUAGAAGCUGGUUGAUUUUACUCCUUGUCCCAUCUUAUAUCUUAUAUCUCGAACCUAUCCAUUUCCUGACGGGCAAGUUUGUUGAGCCUAUGUAAACUUAUGAAUGUUGAAAACAUUAAUGUAACAUUUGCUCUCGCAUGUUACAAUCCAAAUAUUAUUAAUGAAAACUAGAGUUUGUCAAGGUCUACAGACGCCAAGGCAGCUACCUCGAUAAUCUCCGAAAGGCUGAAACUGCAAGAUCAGCAACCACCGUGCCAAGAAACACCUGGAUCUGCACACGAAGUGCAGGCUGUAGCGUGAGUAUAACCAACUCAGUGAGUAAAAAGUCUAAACUUUGGUCUGAAAGUAGUGACGAGCUCAAACAGUAUAGAAAAAGUAUAGAUUUUAACAAUACAAAAAAUGUAGACAUGCUUCCAGGUUUAACAGUGUAGUUCAACGCAAAUAAACUAUUCCAAGUGUGACUGAAAUGAAUAAUAUGACAUCUCUAUAUCUACAUGCCAAUAUGAAUACCGUAUGUGAUGCAACACACUGAAACCUCAAGUACUCACACUCUUUGACCACUUAAUCUGACUGUCUCAAUUCUCGCUCGUCACACUCAGUCACUCAGCACUGUACGGAACCUGUUGUGGCGUGCAACCCAAUCCACAUAUAGCCCUAAGGCCUAUUGUUGCGCGCAACCCUAUCCACAUAUAGCCAUAAGGCUUGUUGCAACGUGCAACCCGAUCCACAUAUAUAGCCAUAAGGCUUGUUGCGUGUAACCUGAUCCACGUAUAUAGCCAUAAGGCUUGUUGCAGCAUGCAACCCGAUCCACAUAUAUAUCCAUAAGGCUUGUUGCGGCGUGCAACCCGAUCCACAUAUAUAUCACUCACUGCACGGCACUCAGGCCCCAACUCAGUCAUCAAUCUCUUCAGUCUUUCUGGCUCACAAAUCUCAUGCAAAUUAGCCCAAAAGAUGAUAUAUGACACAACAAUAAUAGUAAUAGAGACUCAGAUAUGAUAUGCAAAUAAUGGAUAUGACUGAGUACAAAAUUGCUAUCUAAGCAAAUAAUUCAACAACAGAAAUGACCACAGUGGGUCUUAAUAGGAUAAACAUAUACCUUAAUAUGAUUUCUAACACGAAUCGGUAGCUCAAUUACUUUAACACACAGAUAUCACAUGAAUGGCUAAAAGGUCUGAUGACUACACAGUACCACAAAAUCAACCGAAUCAUAAUUUCUACGGUGAACGCCCACACGCCCAUCACCCAGCAUGUGCGUCACCUCAACACCAAUCACAUAACAUAUAAUGCAGGGAUUCGUACCCUCAGAACCAAGUUUAGAAGUGUAACAUACCUCAAACCAAGCAAAUCUAUACUCCAAUAAGCCCCUGCCUUGUGAAUCAGCCUCCGAACGUCUCGAAUCUAGCUACAAACAAUUUGACAGAAUAAACACGAGCUAUAGAAAUUAAUUCCAUAUGAAAAUGCUAAGUUCAUAAUAAAAAGUAGAAAAGCCAGCUCAAAAGUAAACCCCAAGCCCACGUCUCGGAACCCAACAAAAGUCACAAAAUCCGAACAUCCAUUCGACCACAAGUCCAACCAUACAAAAUUUACCGAAUUUCGACACCAAAUCAUCACUCAAAUCCCCAAUUUUAACUCUCCAAUCCCUAGCCCAAAACUCCCAAAAAUCCACGUCAAAAACACAUAAACUAGGUGGAAAAUUCAAUGGGUAAUCAAUGUUAUUGCAUAAAAAUGGUCAAAAGUCACUUAUCUCAAGAGAUCACGCAAAACCCCUCACAAAAAUUGCCUUAAUCCGAGCUUGCAAAGUCCAAAAUAAUAAAAAUCUCGGAACCCUCGAAUUUAAACACUGCCCAGGUAUUUCCGCACCUGUAGAAUUACUUUUGCGAUAAAAAUACUACUUCUAUGGAAGUAACUUAAGUCCACAAGGUCCGCACUGUGCUCCAUGUUUCGCACCUACGGAUGCGCUUCUGCGACGACCCAUCCGCUUCUGCGAAGAAAACCCAUUCUCCUAUUCUCCGCAUCUGCGGAGCCCUGCUCGCAUCUGCGGGCUCACAGAUGCGGAAGACCCCUCAUACCUACGACAAACCCCAUACCAGCCCAGCUCCACUUCUAUACUACAUCAGUCGCACCUACGGCAUUGCAUCUGUGGCUAAAUCCCUCUCAGGUACGAUCACACUAGAAGGCAAAAAUCUAGAAUUGCUUCAACUUCAACUUCAACUUCAACUUUUGGUCCAUUAACCAUCCAGAAUCCACCCGAGGCCCCCAGGACCUCAACCAAAUAUACCAACAAGUCCGAAAACAUGAUACGAACUUAAACCAGGCCUCAAAUCACAUCAAAUAACAUCAAAAACAUGAAUCGCACCCCUAUUCAAGCCUAAUAAAAACUAAGAAAUUCCAACUUCUACAAUCGAUGCUGAAACCUAUAAAAUCAAGUGCGAUUAAACUCAAAUUUUGCACACAAGUCAUAGAUGACACAACGGUCCUUUUCCAACUUUCAGAACCAAAAUCCGAGCCCGGUAACCACAAAUUCAACCCUCGGUCAAACUCCUCAACUUUCCAAACUUCUAAUUUUCAACCUUCGCUGUUUCAAGCCAAAAUCAACUACGGACCUCCAAAUCACUAUUCAGACACACUCCUAUGUCCAAAAUCACCCAGCGGAACUAUCGAAACCAUCAAACCUCCCUUUUGGAGCCAUUUACACAUAAGUCAAUAUCAGGUCAACCUUUUCAACUUAAGCUUCCAUCUUUGAGACUAAGUGUCUUAACUCAUUCCGAAACAUCCCCGGAACCAACCCAACUACCUCAGCAUGUCACAUAACAACAAUUGAGCAUAAAAUAAGCAGUAAAUAGGGGAACGGGGCUACAACACUCAAAUCGACCGGCCGGGUCAUUAUAAGAGAGGUCUUUCAAACUCUAGGAAACGCGCUUGCAUGAAAAUAUGAAGUAACUGCUCUAUGUGCAUAUAUUUAUGCGAACAUUAAAACUGACUUCUAUUCUUUUUCUAUUUCUUUUCUUUCCUUUUCUUGUAUUACUUAUUAUUAUUAUUCAACAAAAAAGGAAGUUGGUUUGUGUUGACCUAAAACUGGUGGAACCAUCAUACAACUUGAGAUUGAAAGGGAAGAUGUCCGCGAUAGGUUACCUGACCGAACACGCUCUAAUAAUAGCUGAUAGCCCGGGGCGAACUGUAGAGAAGGAUGAUACUCGAAAUGAAGAACAUGUUGCUAGGAUGGCUCAAGAGAUGGAAUGGUUAAGGGAGGCAGUACAACAUAUUCGGGAAUUGGCACAUUUGGUCGUGGCAACGCUCCCACAAUUACCCCGUUUUCCUUCUCUAGAUUCAAUCCCCGACCACUUUCCUUUAACUACUAGCCAAGCACAUGAUACCCCGACUUUAGUCCCUACAACCUAGAUUAUACCCCUUGUAACCCUUGUGAACCCACCAAACCGUCCUAUAAACACCCCUUAAGUACCAAAUUAUGUUCAAAUGCCUCAAAAUCCACUAGUUGCUACCAAUGCAGUUCAUAGCCCUACUCGUGAUGGCAUCACCUUCACCACUAACAAAGCUAAGCACAUACAUGCGACACAUACCGCUGCACACGAGCGAUAUGUUCCUCCUGUAUAUGAUGUGUCAGAACCCACCUUCACAACACCCAUCACGGUCAGGCUGCCUUAUGAUUUUGACCUAUAUGCCGAAAUGAAAAGGGAAGCUAAGUAUAAGGAGGAAGAGUCGGUAUCCAAACAGUUAUGGGCAUUGAGGAAAUAAAUAAAGAACCUUCAGGUCGCUUAAGGUAGACAAAGUCUUGAUUAAGAGGAUCUGUGUAUACACCCUGAUGUGGACAUGCCGAUAAGGUACAAGGCUCCGAAGUUUGAUAUCUUUGAUGGAACAGGUGAUCCCCAUGGACACUUGAGAGCCUACUAUGAUAAGCUAGUUGGAGUAGGAAGAAAUGAGAAGUUGAGAAUGAAGCUAUUCAUAAGGAGUCUGACAGGGGAGGCGCUUACUUGGUACACUCGCUAAUAUCCCAAACACUGGAAGGAACAGAAGGAUAUGGCAGAAGAUUUCAUGAACCAUUUUCUAUUCAAUACCGAAAUUACCCCUAAUAGGUUCGCCCUAGUAAACUUGCAGAAGAAGCCAUAAAAAUUAUUUCAAGAGUAUGCACGUCGGUGGAGGUCGGAGGCCGCAAGAGAACAAUCCCCGUAAGAUGACAUUGAGUUGACUAAGUACUUCAUCAGGGCUUGGGAAGGAAUCUACUUUGAGAAAAUGAUGGGCAUGAUGGGGCAGAAGAUCCAUGAACUUGUUUAAAUGGGAGACUUUCUAUAGGAAGGCGUAACAUCCGGUAAGGUACAAUCUAUGGCCGCAUUGCAAGUAGCUAGUAAAGCAAUCCAAUCCAGCUCAAUAGGCAGCAGAAAGAAGAGAAAGGAAGAAGGAUCAACAAUCAUUCCCUAUUACCAGUCCAAUCCACACAAUGGAAACAACUCUUACUCUCCAAAUACCCAUUCUCCACACCAACCUACUUAUGCUCCAGUAUACAACACACAACCAUACUACAAUCUCCAACCUCAAUAUAACCUACCUCGCACCCAUAUAAAUCCAAAUCUGCCAUGACCAUAUGCUAAAAUUCAAACUACCACUCAUCAAAAUUGACCCAUAUAUGCACCCAGACAUCACCCAAAUUUUGAAGAAAUAGGUCCCAGAAACUACACCCUGAUUGCUGAACCUUUGGCUCAAUUGUUUGAAAGACUGAGGAGAGCUGGCAUGAUACAUCCGAUAAAAGGGAGGAUUCUUGAGAAUCCUUCAAAAUACUUUGAUGCAACCAAAUGGUUCUUCUACCAUUCAAACAUACUGGGUCAUGAUACCAAGGAUUGCUUCAAACUUAAAAAUCAAAUUGAGUCAUUGAUCAAACAUGAAGCCAUUAAGUAUACCCAGCUCUGCCCAAUGUGAACCGUAACCAAUUUCCAAACCAUCGGAAUCAAGGAGAUAAUAUGACCACCCUGGAUGAAGAGUAUGACUUAAAAGGAACCAUUGUACAAUCGGGAAUACUGAGGUUAUGAGGGUUCCACCUCGAAGGACUCUAAUGAUCAUUGUACAGUUAAAACAUACAGUGAUUGUCCAGACAUAUUAGCAAUAGUCCACCGCCACUAUCAAGGAUGAAGAGGAUCAGGAAUACAAGAUAGUCCAAUGGACAUAUAAGAAGAAAGGGAAAGACAAGAUGACAGAUUUCGCAGCGGCUCAUGCAAUGACCAGGUCAUAGGAGGUGUUAUGCUCCAGUGGAAGUAAACCGAGGGAAUCCAGGAAGGGAAUAAAUUCAGAGAAGGAAUAUAAUAGAACCGGAGGUUGCAGAAUUCUGGAAGAAGAUGUCAACUAAAGAAUACUCUGUGGAAGAAUAAUUAAAGAAAACCCCUGCGCAAAUAUCAAUCAUGGAUCUACUGGUGAGCUCUGAUAGUCACAAAGAUGUCCCGAUAAAAGUGUUAAGUGGAGUGAGCAUGCCAAGCAACUCUACCAGCGAGGCACUAGCAGCAACUAUCGGGGAGAUGGUCGAGACGAACAUGAUUAACUUUCGAUGAGACAAACUUCCCAUAGAAGGCAUGGGUCACAACAUAACUUUACACAUCACCGUCAAAUAUAGAGAUAAGAUGGUGUCCUGAGUAUUUGUUGAUGGAAUAUCAGGGGUUAAUAUAAGUUGGCUCUACAAGUGAUGGACAUUUCAUCCUCAUAUAAGUUGUUGCUAGGAAGACCCUGGAUACAUAUGGCAUGGACAGUCCCGUCUACCGUCCAUUAGUGCAUGAAGUUUGAGUGGUGUUGUCAAGAUAUUGUAGUUCAUGGCGAAUGGAGCCAGUCAGCUUAUCUAGAACAUGCAGUUCCAUUCAUAGAAGGAUUAGAUGGGGCCGCUUUUCAUGUGGUCGAAAUCAUAUAGAUGACGGAGAUAGAAGAUACUAAGCAAAACAUGGGUAUGCAGUCACCAUUCAGAUUAAAGAUGGCUAUGAGAGAAAUGAUGAAGUAAAAAUAUAGACUAGGGACCGGCCUGGGAGCCCGAUCAGAUGGCAUAACAGAGCCAAUUGAGCCAAGUAGGCAGAAAGGUAGAGGCGACAUAGGGUAUCAGCCUCCAACUGGAAAGCCUUAUAUAUGUGUCUUUGUGAAGAAAGCUUUUAUGCCAGAGCGUGUUUCGGGUCCGGUUCAGAGCUCAAAACCAGAGGACGACAUCGUCGAUGGAAUGGGUAUGUUGUGCGUGACCAUGAUCGAAGAAUGCUGUGACAAAGUUGAUACCAAGACACCGACCAUUCAGAAUGUCAAACCAGGAGAGGACAUGGAGAAUUAGACUGCCAUCCCAUCUUUGUUUCGCCGGGAGUCUUGUAAUCAAAAUGAAAAAAACCCGUAUUCCACGAUUAUGACAUGUAAUAAAACCCUCGAGCAAAGCGAUCAAGAUUAUGAGGAAUACGAUGAAAGCAUGAUGCCAGAUAAUCUCCCGCAAGAGCUUGAGCAACUGGAAAGCCAUAAAACGUCUAACCUUGAGGAGACAGAAGUAUUCAACUUGGGAAGCGAAGAAGACGUCAAAGAAACUUGAAUCAGCAUCCAUUUAGAAGCAGAGCUGAAAGAAGAAUUUGUUGAGCUCUUUCAACAAUACAACGACGUAUUCACAUGGUUGUAUGAUGACAUGCCUGGAUUGAGCACCGACAUAAUUUCAUAUCGAUUGCCUACCGAUCCUGCCAGACCGCCAGCCAAAUAAAAGCCUAGAAAGUUCAAUCCGGACUUGAUUUUGAGGUUAAAAGAAGAAGUAACCAUGCAGAUAGAGGUAAACAUGGUAAGAGUCACCAAUUAUCCCACAUGGUUGGCAAAUAUCGUAUCGGUACCAAAGAAAUAUAGGAAGAUCAGGAUAUGUGUGGAUUAUCGAGAUCUUAACAAGGCAAAUCCGAAAGACGAUUUCCAUUUACCAAACAUUCAUAUCCUCAUCGACAAUUGUGCGAAGCACGAGCUGCAGUCAUUCGUGGAUUGUUUCGCCGGGUGCCAUUAGAUCCUGAUGCAUGAAGAAGAUGUAGAGAAGAUAGCGUUCAGUAUGCCUUGGGGUGUUUACUACUACAGAGUAAUGCCAUUCGGCCUCAAGAAUUCUGGUUCUACUUACAUGAGGGCCAUGACAACCCUCUUUUACGAUAUGAUUUACAAAUAGAUCGAGGUAUAUGUGGAUGAGGUCAUAAUCAAGUCUUGAAAGAGUUCAGAACAUUUGGACGACUUGAAGAAGUUUUUCGAGCGCUUGCGGAGGUAUAGUUUGAAGUUGAACCAUGCAAAAUGUGUAUUUGGAGUCCAUGCUGGAAAAUUGCUAGGUUUCAUUGUAAGCAAGAAAGGGAUAGAGUUGGAUCCUUCAAAGAUCAAAGCCAUUCAAGACUUACCUCCGCCUAAAAGCAAGAAGGAUGUGAUGAGUUUUCUUGGUAGGCUAAAUUACAUCAACCGAUUCAUAGCCUAGUCUCCGUUAAUUUGUGAGCCUAUCUUCAACCUGCUGUAAAAGGCGUACAUGUCAAAUCCACCAGUGUUGGUUCCUCUUGAACCCGGGAAGCCAUUGUUGUUAUACCUGUCAGUUUUGAACAAUGCAUUUGGAUAAGUGUUGGAAAACGACGAUGAGACCGGAAGAAAAGAGCAAGCUAUCUACUACUUAAGCAAGAAGUGUACACCAUGCGAAGCCGAAUACACUUUCAUAGAGCACGCUUGUUGUGCUUUGACUUGGAUAGUCCUGAAGUUGAGGCACUACAUGUUAACAUACACCACACAUCUAAUAUACCGGCUCGACCUUCUUAAGUAUAUCUCCUAGAAGCUGAUGCCUACGGGAAAACUGGCCAAAUGGCAGAUUCUUUUAAGAGAAAUUGACAUUCUGUACUUAAUGCAUAAAGCCAUCAAAGGACAAGCCUCAGCCGACCACCUUGCAGAGAAUCAAGUGCACAAGGAUUUUGAGCCGCUCACUACAUACUUUCCGGAAAACGAAGUGUUAUUCGCCGGAGAAAACAUUACAGAGUCAUACCCAGGAUAGAGAAUGUUCUUCGAUAGAGCAGCAAAUUUAAAAGGAGUAGGAAUUGGGGCAGUCUUAAUUUCAGUGUUGGGAUAGCAUUAUCCGGCGUAAGAAAAUAUAAGGUUCCCCUAAACAAAUAAUAUGGCCGAGUACAAAGUAUGCCUCCUCGGGAUUAGGAGUGCGGUCGACAUAAGCAUCAAGAAGUAUCUGGUCAUAGGAGAUUCUUAUAUGUUGAUACAUCAAGUUCAAGGAGAAUGGACUUCCAAGAACAUCAAGAUCCUUCCAUACCUGCAUUGCAUAAAGGAGUUGUGCAAGAAGUUCACAACAAUCAAUUUCAAGCACAUUCCCAGGAUCCAUAACGAGUUUGCCGAUGCUCUCGCAACCUUAUCAUCCAUGAUCCAGCAUCCAGAUAAGAAUUACAUCGACCCUAUUGAAAUUGAGACCAGGGAUCAACAUGCGUACGGUUUCCAUGUAGAUGGAGAGCUAGACGGUAAGCCGAGGUACCACGACAUUAAAAGGUUUCUUGAAAUAAGAAGGUAUCCAGAGACUGUCACCAAGGUUCAGAAGUGAGCACUCAAAAGGCUAGCAAAUCACUUUUUCCUUAACGGGGAAGUCUUGUAUAGGAGGAACCCAGACUUGGAUAUGUUAAGAUAUGUAGAUGUCGCUUAAGCAACUAGAAUGAUAGAAGAAAUACAUGUAGAGACAUGCAGACACCACAUGAAUGGCUUCACCUUAGCCAAGAAGAAUUUAAGAGCCGGAUACUUUUGGAUAACCAUGGAAAGCGAUAGGAUCCGCUAUGUACAGAAGUAUCACCAAUGCCAGAUCCACGAAGAUUUCAUCCGGGUUCCAACUAAUGCGUUGAAUUUAAUGGGAUCGCCUUGGCCUUUUGCCGCCUGGGGAAUGGACGUAAUCAGACCUAUAAAGCCCACUGCAUCAAAUAGAUAAUGUUUCAUCUUGGUAUAAAUUGAUUAAUUCCCCAAAUAGGUCGAAGCAUCUACAUACAAAGCUGUUAUGAAGAAAGUAGUGACAGAUCUCGUCCGUAACAACAUAGUAUGCUGAUUUGGGAUAGCCGAGUCAAUCAUCACUGACAACGCAGCCAAUCUCAACAGUGAUCUCAUGAGAGAAGUUUAGAAUCAUCCAUCGUAACUCUACAGCCUACAGACUGCAAAAGAAUGGAGAAGUUGAAGCAGCCAACAAAAACAUCAAGAGCAUUCUACAAAAAAUAGUGGACAAUCAUAGGCAAUGGCACGAGUAAUUAUCCUUUGCCUUAAUGGGUUAUCGUACUACUAUGAGGACAUCCACUGGGUAACACCAUGCAUGUUGGUAUAUGACACUGAAGCUGUGAUACCCGCAGAGGUCGACACACCUUCCUUGAGAGUCAUUCAAGAAGACAAGUUCGAUGAUAUAGAAUGGAUAUGGGUCAAGUAGGAGUAACUCAUGCUCAUUGACGAGAAGAGAAUGGAUGCAGUAUGCCAUGGUCAACUGUAUCAAAGUAGGAUGGACAGUGCCUUCAAUAAAAGGGUAAACCUCACCAAUUUAUACCGAGGCAGUUGAUUUUGAAGAAAAUAUUCCCUCAUUAAUAAGAAGUCAAGGGAAAGUUUGCGCCAAAUUGGCAAGGUCCUUAUGUGGUCCACCGAGUUUUGUCGGGAGGAGCUCUGUUCUUGGCAGAGAUGGACGGAAAAGUUAGCAUGAAGCCUAUCAACCCGGACACAAUCAAGAGAUACUAAUUCGAAGAAAGUGAAGUUAGGUUUUUGUUUAAACAAAACUAUGCCACACCUGACUUCCCAUGGAGGGAUACAUAGGCAACACACAUAUGGUCUGAUCAUUCUCUCUCGCCCACUCUUCUUUUGUAAUAGGAAAUCCAAAUACUAUUUUGUAUGUACUCGGAACUACGCCGCGACUUAAUUUCCUUUGGAAGGAAUACGUAGGCAAUCCUUAUCAGAUUCAGUCAUCUUUUGUAAUUGAACUACGUCAUGACCCAAUUCCAUUUGGAUACGUAGGCUUCCAGAGUCAGGCUCGGUCAUCGUCAUAUUUUUCUUUAUCGUUAUCCAUGAAUUACGUUCAGAUCUGAUUCCUACUCAGAUACUUUGGCAACCUAAAAAGGUUUGGUCAUGACCUUAGGAAAAUCUUUGUAAUGCAUUAGUUUAGAUUAGGAUACACUCGCAGCAACAAGAAGCCACACCAUCAGAAUAAUCUUAUUAGAUCGACAUCAAUGAGACAGAGUUUUCCAGUAACAACGUUCGUGUCUGAGGGAUUUCCUAGACAUGUCAUAAUCUGGAAUGACAACAUUUUCCAUAAGAUAAAAGAUUUUCAAAAUGUUUCCUUAAAAUGUAACAAUCUGUUCCACCUAACGAACGUCAUGGUGUAACCUCACCAAGCCUGGGGCAACGCCAAGGCUAUUGUCGACACAAACUAACACCUCCCCUGCUAAGAAUUUUUCUUUGAGUGCAGGAAUAACAAGAUACAAGGCAAAGCUGGAGCAGGCUGGGGCAAUGACGGACCCACCACUCUUAGGUAUUUUAACACCAGGCCACCGAUGCAAACGAAGCAUAUUGUAAAUAGCAAACUGUCAACUCAACCAAGCAGAGCAUGUUGUAUAUAGCGAGCCGCUGGCCCCGCCAACCAAAUCCAUAUGUAUAGUAAAUCGUUUGCUCAAACAAGCAGAGCAUGUUACAUAUAAUGAGCUGCUUGGCCCGCGAACCGAUGCCAUGUGUAUAGCAAACUGCCAGCUCAAUCAAUCAGAGCGCACUGUACAAAUCGAGUCGUCGGCUUUGCCAAUCGAAGCCCUGUAUCUAACAAAUUGUCCGCUUCGCCAACAGGAGCAUUCCUCACCGCCACUCAGCCAUAUCGAAGAUUACAAGUAGAUAGCUACAAAUCUCGUCACCAACAUUAUGCCGAAUGACAAAUGCAAUUUAGUUGCAUUCAAGAGUAUCUCUUGGGCACACUCCUUAUUUAUUUAUUUUUGUCUCGAAUGUUUUUACGUUUUGCUUAUGCAACCUCCAAGCAUGAUUAUAUUUUCAGGUCGGAAACUCCCAUCGUGCGGAUAUGCUUUACAUUUCAAUGCAAAUGCUCCCAUCACUCAGAGAUACUUACAUUUCAAUGCAACUACUCCCAUCACGCGGGGAUACAUUCUAAAUUAUAACUACUCCCAUCGCGCGGAGACACUCCCAACUUGAGGAUACUUAAUGCUCUGACAGCUGUGAGAUGAUACAAAACGCAUCUAAUAAUCGAGUCAAAUUCAAGUAUACUGUCAUUCCAAUCCAAAUAAAUGGCUAGCCGGCAGCCAUGCAUCAUCAUUCCUCCAUCAUUUACAUCACAUCUUAACAUGUCUGCAUUACGAUAUAAGGGUAUGUGUAUAUUUGUUUUUGCAGGAAUAGACAUCGCAACGUGGAACUUCUUUUAAGCAGCAAACCAAGCUAUAAUGCUAUGAGAGACAAUAAACUCAUAAGGGGACCAAGGAUCCAAGUUCAAACUCAAAUACGAUAAGUGGAACUCUAAUUCUUCAAAUCUUUCAAAUCAAGCCGCAAUUCAAGAGCUAUCAUGGUUACCAAAUCUUCUGUCUCGCAAUAUUGUCAUAAUACGAUACUGGAGCAAAAUUGGCCUUGGUUCGAAUUAUUUGCCCAAAAACUCUUUUAUCGUCUCCGGUCAAAGAGGGACAGCUGUUGACGACCAAUUUUGACCCUCACUUUUAAAAUUACUUUAUUUAUACUUAAUGGUUUGCAAUAAAUGUGUUGAAAGUAUUUUCUAAUCAAUAAUACCUAUUUUUAUAAAAACAAUUAGUAAUUAAUAGUGUUGAAAUUAAUAAUUUGUCUUACAUAAUUAUAAGAUAUAUCAUACUUACUAUUUUGAGACUAUUAAAAUAACCUUUAUAUACAUUAUAUAAGUUUUACAAUUAAUGUAAUAAGUUAUUCCGUAAUUUUUAGUUAAUUAUCCUACUAUUUUAAUAAUUCAAAAUUAAUGUCAAAACAAAAAGAACAUAAAAAAACAAAAGAACAGAUAAUAAGAGAAUCACUAUUCGGGUGUUUUGAAAAUAAAGUAUUUUUAAAAAUAAUUAAUUAAUUAGUAGUGUACUUGAUGAUUAUAACUUUUUUUAUAUUUUAUUGAAAUUAUUUAUGUUUAUUUAAAUUAAUUAUAAAAGGGUUUAAAAACCACAAAGGCUAAAAAUGCAAAUACCUAAUUCAAUACAAAUGGCUAUUUUUUAAAUUGUUUUAGCCCAAACUGACCUGAUCCAGUCCACACAACCCCAUCUACUCAACCUUGGCAAUCUAGGCUACCCUCCCAAAGCCAAUCAAACUCCGCCAUGUCACUUGUCCCAAUUCACUAACAAAACAAAUACAACUCAUCCUGACCGUUGAUUUAUAUCUUCAACGGAGCAUGAUUAAUCCCAUUUUCCAUUAGUUUUUAAAAGCCCAUCUCAUUUUAUCUCCACCGUUGGAUCACAAGAAUCCAAUGACCAUCGAUUUGAUCCAACGGCUCCCGUUCCAUUUCUUAUUUUUAUCUCUAGAGACGACUAACCCCAACCCCAAACCCUAAUUCAUUUACCCUGCUCACCUAGCAGCCCCUUUUCUCUUUCCUCUCUCUAUUCUCUCAAAUCGUAGACCCAUUAAUCCCAGAAACCUUGUGCCUUCUGACUCCUCGAAUCUCAUCGGUAUCUCCCUAUUACAUCAUAUGAAUUUGAAAUCUCAUGUUACUUACACUCAAAGAUGAAACUUCAUGUCUUCAAGAUCUUCUGGUGCUACAACAAAAUCAGAGCAUGCAUGGCAUCUCAUUAUGUUUAUUCGAAACCAGAGGUACCUCUGGAUUUCCGGUCUUUGUGCGAUGGUAUUUCUUGCCUGCAACGACUCUCUUCAACUCAGGUAAAACUCCUAUGAUUUUCCCCUAUGAUCUUUGGAUUUUCACUCAUUUUGCUCGCAUCAUCAAUCUCUCCAUCACUCUCCACUAUCAAUUUGAAUUUUUGUGGAACCCUAAGGCUUCAAUGGCCACUAUAAAUAAAGCCUUCAAUGCUCUCACCUAACACGACCUACCACCUAAUACAAUAUAGAAAAUGAAAGAGAAUUAAAAACCCCUAAACUUCUCACUGAUUUUAUUUUCUUUCUCCGGUUCUGAGUUUAUACGCAGUCUAGGCUUGAGGUUUGGUUUCUUAGCGGCUAAAUAAAAGGUUUCGCUUGGUUUUAUGCUCUGCGAAAGGUCAGUGUACACCGAUCCUUCUUUUCCCUUCAGUUAUGUGUGUUUAUCUAGUGAUUUUGAUGUUUUCUCUUCGUUCAUAAUGCAUGUUUGAUAAUUUCUAUAUGGCCUAUUAUAUUCUUUGCCAUUCUUAUUAAGUUAAAUGCUUUUCCUCAUGAUAAUCCAUGGUUGCUUUAGUGUUGCUUUGUAACCUGUGACUUAAUUAGAUAACACCCGCUAUAAUGAAAUGGCAAAAAAUACUGUUGAACUCUUGUUACUAGUUUAAAAGGCUUCGGAUGUUCUUUUAACCCUAUCAUCAUGCUUACUUGACUAAACUGUGAUCUCAUACCCAUAUGAUGUUUUGCUAGGAACUUAUGUUUGCUGCUUCUGUAUUACACUAGUUAUAAGGUUAAUUAUGUUAUACUAUUAUUGAUCCAUGUCAUGCUUAAUAUGUUCUGUCAUGUUUUGAUUCUUGAAAAACAUCAUUCUGUAAUGAGCUUGAGUGUCCUCUAUUAGUCCUUGUCUGAAGGAUUCAUGUCUAAGCCGCUAUACUUUUAUUGCUUCAUAGAAGAGUAAGUUGAACUUGCCAGUUUUGACAGCUUAAAAAAUAGAGAAUUUGAGGAGAGAAGCUAUUGUUGGCACUCAUAGGCUUAAACAAAUUCUUAAUGUCUGUUUGCCCAGUUAAAAUAAAUACUAUUCUAUAUUAAUUGAUGACCUCUGUUUGUGUAGGUUUAGUUAUGAAUAUGGAUGUUUUGAUUAAGAAUUUAAGGAACUAAUGAUCCUACUACAAAGUUUCAAUCAUGCUAAGAUUGACCUUCUUGUCUACAUUUAUAUCACUCCCUGAACUGAUCAUACCAAGUUAAACUUUAUCAUGUUUGGGCUGAUGCAUUCACCUGUGUAACUGGACUAGUCAUCUUACUAUUUCUACCCUGCUUAUUCCAUGUGAAACCUCCUUUGUUCUAAACUUUUAUAAUUAAUUUAUUGGAUUGACCCUAUACUCCAUCAUGCUGUAGUUUUACACUCCUUAGGGAUAUCUUUGCAUGAGCUUGAUUGUCUGCUCUUGGACUGCUGUACUCAUUCAUGUUAUCAAACAAACUCUCUGCUUAUAUUUCAUACGCAUUCUUAUGUAUUUUAUUGCCCUAUCACAUAAUGAAUAUUGAACCUUGCUAUGUUUGUAUAAGUGAACUAUAAUUCAUUUGUGGAUUUGAGAGAGCAUUCUAAUGAUAUGUGUUCAGCUCAAGUAGAAUAUUAUGCCUCGACUCUUAAUGAACCCAAUGAGAAUGUGAUAUCAGGAAUGUUUUAAGGAGAAAGCAAUCACCUAUUAGAGUUGAAAUCAAUUUGCUAACUUACAUACUCCUUUUGAUGCUCUCUAAAGUUCCUAUAUAAAACUGUUAAUUCAUACAUCCAUUAGAAUCCAAGACUUGACCUGCGUACAAAUCCCUGAUCAACUUAAGCCUGGAACUGUUAAGCAUGAGGAUCCCCUAUAAAUCUGAACUAUGUACCUCUUUUAUUUCAUACUGCCUGACUCAAUAGUUUGACUUUUCGAAAUGAUCAGCCACUAAUCUUUUCCCUUAAUUAUACAUGUUAUCGUUUUCUUUGGAUGUUCUUCUACAUAUUGGUGGUUCUUAGCAAUGAACUACACAUUGGUGUUUGAAUUGUGAUUUCUUUAGUAUUAUCUGUUAUUACAUUUUCCCAGUAACAUUAAGUAUAGUUUCUAUUGGAAGUACACAUUCCUAAGCUUGUGUAUGAUUGUUAUAGUUGUACUUAAAUUUACAAUGAAGGCCUUAUUGGCAUUUAAACCUAUAGGGAGGAGUAAAUGUGAAUUGUUAGAGGUAUUUAGGAAUGAGAUUUGGUUUGUAGUUGAGAUACUCUCCCUGACACAUUCACUCAUCGGGGUCCUUGAAACCCUUGUGAACUUUGAAGUGCCAGUGGCUCAAAGAGUGUCUUUGAUAUAAAUGGAAUGUCAUGUUAAGCCCUUAAUCAUUGACAUUUGCUAAUCACUUAGGGGUUAGUGUUUAAUGAAGAGAAAGGCUUCAUUGUAAUUUUCCAUACUCUGCUCGAUCUUACACAGUCUUAUUUACAUUUCUCCACCACAAAUAUUUGUUAUAGUCUCAUGUGGACCUUACGUUUGAUCUUAUCUACCUUUAAAUAUUUUUUUUGGGUUUUUGUCACUAAUUUCUACCUUUUUCUCUAGAAUAUGUAACUGAUCUGGGCCUACUGAGUUUUCAAGAACUCAGGCCCAAGUUCAAGCUUUUAGUUUGAAGUCAUGGGAGCCACUGCUGCUUGUCUGCUGUUCGCUGGGCCUAACCUUCUUCAGAACCAGAUUACUGAGUCCAAUUCCCUUUCCUUCCUCAAUAGAUGAAUUGAAUCUAUUAUCUUUUCUUUACAUGAGUAUAAUACUAACGAUAUUGAUUGAAUAUUUUAUUUUUUCUCAAAGGUUUUAGGAGCCUAGGAAAUCCAAGAUCCAUAGGUAAUAAAAUAAAUCACUAUUACAUUACGAUCAGUUAUAAAGUUUCGGCGCUUUGAUCAUUUAUUCUUCAUUACAUAAG
rnacentral:lncRNA from 1 species